CGCUCCAGCUCAUCCUUCUUCUUGAUGGCGUACGAGUUGGAAGAACCCUGGAAAGAGCAAACAGAGCAGUGGUUACAAUGGGAUCCAAUAUGAGGUUGAUCAUCAGAUGUAAGGGGAAAAUGCCACAAGCACAAGGAUAAUAAAAGAUUUGUGGAUUAGUUUUGUCCAAAAGCGAGACUACAUAAAUAAACCAUGAUGCAGAAUUAGAUUGGACCGAAUAUACACUAUAUAUUCAUGGCAAUACAUCUUCCUAUUCAUAUUUACAAAUAUAUCUGUUCUUCUACGUUUCUCGUGUGCAUUGGACAGGGGAAAAUGCCACAAGCACAAGGAUAAUAAAAGAUUUGUGGGUUAGUUUUGUCCAAAAGCGAGACUACAUAAAUAAACCAUGAUGCAGAAUUAGAUUGGACCGAAUAUACACUAUAUAUUCAUGGCAAUACAUCUUCCUAUUCAUAUUUACAAAUAUAUCUGUUCUUCUACGUUUCUCGUGUGCAUUGGACAGGGGAAAAUGCCACAAGCACAAGGAUAAUAAAAGAUUUGUGGAUUAGUUUUGUCCAAAAGCGAGACUACAUAAAUAAACCAUGAUGCAGAAUUAGAUUGGACCGAAUAUACACUAUAUAUUCAUGGCAAUACAUCUUCCUAUUCAUAUUUACAAAUAUAUCUGUUCUUCUACGUUUCUCGUGUGCAUUGGACAGGGGAAAAUGCCACAAGCACAAGGAUAAUAAAAGAUUUGUGGAUUAGUUUUGUCCAAAAGCGAGACUACAUAAAUAAACCAUGAUGCAGAAUUAGA